rnacentral:rRNA from 1 species
AUGGAGGCUGCCCAUGGCGCAGCAGCAUCUAUGGACCUGUCCCUGACGCUGGCCCCCAUGCCACCAGCAGCACCUCCAUCCUCCUCUGUUUCAGCUGCAGCAGACCCCGCUGCCGGCGACAGCGGCUAUGCCCAUGGCCAUGGUGGUGGCGGCCGUGAAGAGAGAUCAUCGAGGCGGCUGUUCUCGUGCCUUUUCUGCGAGAAGAAGUUCCUCAAGUCGCAGGCGCUGGGCGGCCACCAGAACGCGCACAGGAAGGACAGGGGCGCCGGCGGCUGGAACGCCAGCCUCUACCUCCAAUCCGACCACGACGACCGGCCGGCCACCACGGACACGGAGGCAAUGGCGCCAGCGAGAUGGCCAAAGGCGCGCCUUGACGACGGCGGCGAGGAGCAGUUGCAGCAAGAGCAGCUUGAUCUCAACCUUAAGCCUUAA